rnacentral:tRNA from 1 species
GGAUUAUGGCUCAGUGGUAGAGCACUCGCCUAGCAUGCGUGGGACUCUGGGUUCAAUUCUCAGCACCA